rnacentral:lncRNA from 1 species
UAAUAUUAUUCUAAGCGGGCAUGAGGCGCUGCGGCCCGAGCCCUGAUUGGUCUGGUUAUCUGACCCGGGGCCUGCCCGCGCCAGACAAUAGUCGGAGUCAAAUUAUUCGCCAUGGAGACGCUGUCAGUCACUGGUAACCCGAGCCCCGGCGGGCCAGGCGGCUCCCCCCGGCCGGCUCCGCUGACAGAUCGCCCGGCUCGGCGCAGAGCGGAGGGCGGCCCGAGACAGGAGCCGGAGGCUCUCCAAAAGCCUGGGAGGAGGCUGCUUGAAGCAAUUUAAU